CCUACGGGUGGCAGCAGUGGGGAAUAUUGGACAAUGGGGGCAACCCUGAUCCAGCCAUGCCGCGUGUGUGAAGAAGGCCCUCGGGUUGUAAAGCACUUUCAGUGAGGAAGAACGCCUGGUGGUUAAUACCCAUCAGGAAAGACAUCACUCACAGAAGAAGCACCGGCUAACUCCGUGCCAGCAGCCGCGGUAAUACGGAGGGUGCGAGCGUUAAUCGGAAUUACUGGGCGUAAAGCGCGCGUAGGUGGCUUGAUAAGCCGGUUGUGAAAGCCCCGGGCUCAACCUGGGAACGGCAUCCGGAACUGUCAAGCUAGGGUGCAGGAGAGGAAGGUAGAAUUCCCGGUGUAGCGGUGAAAUGCGUAGAGAUCGGGAGGAAUACCAGUGGCGAAGGCGGCCUUCUGGACUGACACUGACACUGAGGUGCGAAAGCGUGGGUAGCAAACAGGAUUAGAUACCCUUGUAGUC
rnacentral:rRNA from 1 species